rnacentral:rRNA from 1 species
GUGGGGAAUCUUCCGCAAUGGACGAAAGUCUGACGGAGCAACGCCGCGUGAACGAUGACGGCCUUCGGGUUGUAAAGUUCUGUUAUACGGGACGAAUGGCGUAGCGGUCAAUACCCGUUACGAGUGACGGUACCGUAAGAGAAAGCCACGGCUAACUACGUGCCAGCAGCCGCGGUAAUACGUAGGUGGCAAGCGUUGUCCGGAAUUAUUGGGCGUAAAGGGCGCGCAGGCGGCGUCGUAAGUCGGUCUUAAAAGUGCGGGGCUUAACCCCGUGAGGGGACCGAAACUGCGAUGCUAGAGUAUCGGAGAGGAAAGCGGAAUUCCUAGUGUAGCGGUGAAAUGCGUAGAUAUUAGGAGGAACACCAGUGGCGAAAGCGGCUUUCUGGACGACAACUGACGCUGAGGCGCGAAAGCCAGGGGAGCAAACGGGAUUAGAAACCCGAGUAGUCC